GACGAACGCUGGCGGCGUGCCUAACACAUGCAAGUCGAGCGGUCCGGCACUCAACUAAGUGCUUACUUAAGGGGAAGGAAGUAUAGUAGAAGAAGAAGGUAAUAAAAGUGAUGCAAAGUAAGGUAAGCGCGGAGUUGAGUGCCGGAUAGCGGCGGACGGGUGAGUAACGCGUGGGCAACCUACCCUUAAGACCGGGAUAACACCUCGAAAGGGGUGCUAAUACUGGAUAAGCUCCUUGUAGGGCAUCCUAUGAGGAGGGAAGGUAGCGGAAGCUACCGCUUAAGGAUGGGCCCGCGUCCCAUCAGCUAGUUGGUAGGGUAACGGCCUACCAAGGCGACGACGGGUAGCCGGCCUGAGAGGGUGGUCGGCCACACUGGGACUGAGACACGGCCCAGACUCCUACGGGAGGCAGCAGUGGGGAAUCUUGCGCAAUGGGCGAAAGCCUGACGCAGCGACGCCGCGUGAGCGAAGAAGGCC
rnacentral:rRNA from 1 species